rnacentral:tRNA from 1 species
UAUGCCUUAGUAUAUAUAUGUAUAAAAGUUUUUGAUACUUUAGGUAAUAGUGUGUAACUAUUAGGUAUAG